UACGUAGGUGACCAGCGUUGUCCGGAUUUACUGGGCGUAAAGAGCGCGCAGGCGGUCGUUCAAGUCGAGUGUGAAAGCCCCCGGCUCAACUGGGGAGGGUCACUCGAUACUGAUCGACUUGAAGGCAGGAGAGGGAAGCGGAAUUCCCGGUGUAGUGGUGAAAUGCGUAGAUAUCGGGAGGAACACCAGUGGCGAAGGCGGCUUCCUGGCCUGUUCUUGGCGCUGAGGCGCGAAAGCUAGGGGAGCGAACAGG
rnacentral:rRNA from 1 species